rfam:Salmo salar isolate Sally breed double haploid chromosome ssa22, whole genome shotgun sequence.
AAGAUGUACUAUUGUAAAGUCGCUCUGGAUAAGAGCGUCUGCUAAAUGACGUAAA